AGGGCUUGGCAGAGGUGGCAAUGGUAUUGGCAACUGUGGCAGAGGUAGCUGAGGUUUGGGAAGUUGUGGCAUAGGUAAUGGCAAAUCCGGUUUGGGCAAAGGUGGCAGCUGAGGGUUUGGAAGUUGUGGCUGAGGAAGAUUAGGCAUAGGUAAUGUGGGCAGUCCAGGCUGCGGCAGUGGAAGAUUGGGCAUAGGUAAUGUUGGUAGCUCAGGUUUUGGGAGACCAAUGGGGAGAUCUGGCAAAGUUGCGUCCAGAAGAUGGCGAGCCUCAACUUGAAUUACAUGGCUCCUGAUUGAUGACAAGACAACGAGGAAGAGAAGGUAAAGAGACUGAUGAGCCAUU
rnacentral:lncRNA from 1 species